rnacentral:rRNA from 1 species
GACGAACGCUGGCGGCGUGCUUAACACAUGCAAGUCGAACGCUGAGGCUCAGCUUUUGUUGGGUGGAUGAGUGGCGAACGGGUGAGUAACACGUGAGUAACCUGCCCCCUUCUUUGGGAUAACGCCCGGAAACGGGUGCUAAUACUGGAUAUUCACUGGUCUUCGCAUGGGGGUUGGUGGAAAGGGUUUUUCUGGUGGGGGAUGGGCUCGCGGCCUAUCAGCUUGUUGGUGGGGUGAUGGCCUACCAAGGCUUUGACGGGUAGCCGGCCUGAGAGGGUGACCGGUCACAUUGGGACUGAGAUACGGCCCAGACUCCUACGGGAGGCAGCAGUGGGGAAUAAUGCACAAUGGGCGCAAGCCUGAUGCAGCGACGCCGCGUGAGGGAUGGAGGCCUUCGGGUUGUGAACCUCUUUCGCUCAUGGUCAAGCCGCAACAAUGGUUGUGGUGAGGGUAGUGGGUAAAGAAGCGCCGGCUAACUACGUG